GGAAAAUAACCGAAAUGACCAAUCUGCUUUUUCUUGUGUUUCUGCUUUCUUUAGCUCUUUUCUGUUUGUAAAACCAACCUCCUCUGUUUACCUCACUGGAACACAGGCUAUUUUAUGGAAUGAAGUGUUGCCCAAUUCUAGAAUUGCAAAUAAAGCCAAAGAAAAUCUUUUAAAUUAAAUUGCAGUCAUUUUAUCUUUUGACAAGUAUUUUAAAUUAUUUUGUGGAAAAGUUGUGUUCUGCAUCCUGGAUUCAACCAAACCUGAGGUCAAAAAUAUUCAAAAAAUAAAAAACAGCAAUACAACAAUAAAACAUAAUGCAAAUGAAUAAUAUUGUAUAACAAUUAUUUACAGAGCAUUUACAUUGUGUUAGGUAUUAGAGGUAAUCUAGGGGGAUUUAAAGUAGAUGGGAGGAUGCAUGUAGGUUAUAUGCAAAUACUAGACCAUUUUAUUACAUACAAGGGACUUGAGAAUCCUUGGAUUCUGGCAUCCACAAAGGGUUCCUGGAGCCAAUCCUUCCCCUACUCCAGGAUACCGAGGACAACUGUAUUCUCAUGGUUUUCAUAUCAACAUUAAGAAAAUCUGACCACUCUACAAGGCUGGCAUUUGGAAGAAAGUGAAGGGAUUCUAGCAGUUUUUAGGCUUGACUCUGCCAGUUGUGGAAAGAGUGCAAUGUGCUCCCACUGUCUUCGGGUGGGGGACAGCUAGCAGUGUGUGGGGAAAGUGCUGGUCUCAUCCCAGAUGCACAGCAGUCACCUGCUCCCUGCUGCCAAGCCUCCUGUGGGCCUGUGGAGGGCUGCCCUGCACACCUGCAGGGCGCAAGAGACCCUGUUUUUCUUCCUUUCCUCUUCCAUUUUCCCUUUCCCUUGAGUGCCUGAAGCGUGUUUUAAGGGUGGGAGGAAAAUUCAAAGGUUUCCCAAUUGGCUAUUUUGUCAUGAGAGGCUUUGUUCUAGCUGUGUUGGUCCUGGCAAACUUGAGGUCAAAGUAGGAGGUAGAAUUUCCUCCCAAGGUCCAGUGAGCUGGUCUCCAGCCCAAGCUCUCCUGGCUCCAUUCAACUUUGUUCUGCUGAUAACAAUCUUGCUGAAAUGCAAAUCUGUAUCAAGUCACCAGUGACCCUGGAGACUCCUAAACCCCUCACCUGGUGGCCACCACACCCCCAUCUCACUUCCAACUACACCCAUUUCCCAUUGCCUAAUCCCUCUCCUUCUUUCAGAUCCCGCAGGAGGUGGGAAUUGAGGCAUCUGGGAUGACUUCUGAAUUCCUACAAGAAUUACGAGACACUUAGGUUUGGACAUGCUGGGACUGAGGUGUCUUGGGACAUCCAGAAUAUAUCAGAGUCUUGAUUACAUAGAGGAUAAUGCCACAGGUUUUCAUGCCUACUAUCUCCCUGCAGUAGCUAAUGCCGAAAUAAAAAACUCGGUGGCUUUGGGUCGUUUCAUUCUUCCUCCUGCGUGCCUGCAAAAAGAAAUAAGAAGAAAAAUUGGUAGUUUUAUUUGAGAACAAGACCAACAUUUUCUGAUAGAAAAGCAUGAUGAAGUAACACCAAAUGAAAUAAAGACCCUUAGGGAAAACAGUGAACUAGCAACAUAGCACAAAAAAGAAUUAUCCGAA
rnacentral:lncRNA from 1 species